AGGACAAGCUCAAGGGUAAGGGGGCUUCCAGACUAUAGAUGAAUUUAAACAUUUUCUGGUUGACAAUUGGUUGAGUUUGUCCAAAGACCUGGAAUAAA